UAGAGAUGGGGUUUCACCAUGUUGGCCAGGCUGGUUUCAAACUCCUGAUCUCAAGUGAUCCGCCCACCUUAGCCUCCCAAAGUGCUGGGGUUACAGGCGUGAGCCACUGCGCCUGGCCAGGAUGUAAUUUCUAAUACACACAUUAUUUCUUCUGUAUAUUGAUGCUUUGUAGGAGGUGCUUGAAAUAAUUCUGCCAGAAGAUCAAUAAAAUUUCAACCCUUUUAAUUGGGAAGGCUGUCAGUACUAACAAAACUACACUGAUAGACAGACAGUGACUAACGAAUUCAGAUACACACAAUCAGGAGCAACACACCUUAUAUUUUUAUUAUGAAAUAUAUGGAGCAUACAGAAAUGUAGAGGAUAGAAUAAAGACAUGUGUACCCACCGCUAAGCAGUGCCAAAUCUUAAGGUAUUGCUACAUUUGUUUUAACUCUUAAUUUUUUUAGAAACACAACUUUCCAGGUUUCAGCAAAGUCCCUUUCCCUGACCCCAUCCUCCUCUUUCAGAGGUAACCACCACUAAACUUGGUAUUUAUCAUCUCUAUGCCUAUUUUAUACUUUCAGUUCACUUGUGUCUACAUACAUGACAGCCCUGACUAGUUUGCAUGUUGAAAUUUUUAUAUAGUUUAUGAACACUCAAGUUCUAUGAAAUAUUCCCUUAAAGUCUGGGGAAAAAUCAAAAUAACCACAGGGAUCAUUUUAGGACUAUGGGUGACUUUCUUCUUUCUAAUCUCUUUCUUUUUCCCAUUUUUAUAAGAGGAGUAAUAUUCUCAUUUCCAAGCAGUUUUAUCAAAGAAAUGAAGUGGACAGACUGGGCACGGCAGCUCACGCCUGUCAUCUCAGCACUUUGGAAGGACAAGGGGGGGGGACGGGAGGCGGAUCACAAGGUCAGGAGUUCAAGACCCACCUGGCCAACAUGGUGAGACCCCCGUCUCUACUAAAAAUACAAAAAUUAGCUGGGUGUGGUGGCGUACACCUGUAGUCUCAGCUACUCGGGAGGCUGAGGCAGGAGAAUUGCUUGAACCUGGGAGGUGGAGGUUGCAGUGAGCCCAGAUCACGCUACUGCACUCCAGCCUGGGCAAGAAUGGGACUCCAUUUCAAAAAAAAAAAAAAAAAAAAAUAUAUAUAUAUAUAUAUAUAUAUAUAUACACACACACACAUAUACACACAUACACACACACAUAUACAUACACACACACACACACAUAUGUAUAGUGAAAUUUUUUCCCACCCCUUUCUCCCAAAUGCCUAAUUAUCAACCCUUUCUGUCCCAGUGGAUAAGCACUAUUAACAGCUUUUCUGUCCUUCCAGCAUAGGCAAACAUUCUAGUUUCUGUCUCUCUCUCUAAUAGAAGGGUAGCACACUUACAUGCUACUCCGCACCUUGCUUUUUCACUUAUCCCAAAUACCAUAUCUUUCUAGACAGUGUCCUCAUUCUUUUCUAAAGCUACACAUUUUCAUUGUAUGGCUGUACCAGAAUUUAUUUAACAAGUUUCUCUUUGUUGGAUAUUGUGGUGAUUACUUAAAUGAUUUCAUAUUUAUGAAAUCCACUUGUAAACUAGUCAUACAAUAAUAAGAAACCUAUGAGAUAGAUAUUAUCAAGUUCAAUAAUAAGGAAUAAAAGAAACUAAAUUUUAAUACUAAACAGGAAAAUUGAAAGAGGCUGAAGCUGCUUUUUAAAAUAAAAUAUUGUCAUCCUCUCAACUGUUAUGCUGUCAGGUAGAACUAGUUAUUUGAAAUAGAAUGAAAACUGGCAAUUAAAGGUAUUGGCCUAGUUGAGAAACUUGUUUUUAACCUAACUUCUCCUUCUCAGAAUAUUUAUCUUUAUGGUCCUCAAAUUUAAUUUAAUGGGUCAUUUUCAUUAAAUUUGAUGACAGGGAAAUCUCAGGAAAUACCUGUGAGAGUUUUUUUUGUCUACGAUAUUUGGCACAGGUUAUAUUUAAUUAUAAGGCCAGAAUUAAGAUAUGUACCUAUAAAGUAUACACAAAGUAGAAAUCAGAUUGAUUUACAAAUUCACUCAGUUUUCUACUAAUUUGUUUAUUGUGUGAACUUAUUAUUAAAGUUGUUAGGUUGCAAAAGCAAAGGAUCAAGGAAACUUCAUUAUUUAAAUAUUACUAGAUAAAACAAGCUAUUAAAGAGUUAUAGUUAAAAAAAUUUUUGUACUUCUAUCUACUAUGUUGUAAACACUACAGAUUAAAUACUACCUACUCCACUGUCAAUGCCAUUAGCUUCUGUGCUAUCACAGCUUUCAUUUGUUGGUUUCUCCAAAAACUUUCUUUCUUCACUCCCACAUGAUACCAGAUACCCAAAAGAUAUCCCAAAGAAUUGGGCUUUGGGCACUUCAAAAGAAACAUACUAAAAAUUCUAAGAUAUCAUUACAGAAGCAGAGAUGCAUUACUUAUUUUACUGAUUAGUUGGAGAACAAAGGAUUGAGGUGUUGCCUAUCAGGUUGAGAGAAAAAUGGUGGUCAAAGUUAGCCAUGCAAGGCCCUGUUGAUAAUGGCUGCUGACCUUACCAACAUUAUUUUUUGCAAAUGCUGAGAUGGGACAGUGUAGUUUCUUCUAAUAGAAUGAUUAAAGUGUUCAUCAUUACAGAAAUUACUUCUUUGGCUGUUGGUUAACUCUUCAGAGUGUGCCCUAUCAAGCGCUAACAGCCAAGUUUCACAUGUCCUGAAACAUCUUUUUUUUUUUUUAGUAGAGAUAGGGUUUCUCCAUGUCGGUUAGGCUAGUCCCGAACUCCUGACCUCAGGUGAUCUGCCCACCUCGGCCUCCCAAAGUGCUGGGAUUACAGGCGUCAGCCACCGUGCCCGGCCUCUGAAACAUCUUUCUUAAUUUAACUUUCAACUAAGUUCUAGUCUGUAAAUGAGAAAUGCAAGUAAGAACAAGGGGUCAAUUUAUUUUAAGUAAAUUUGUCAUUAAAUAUCAAUGUGUACAAUUUCAAACAUUUAUAAAUCUUCCAAUUUAUAGAAAAAUUAAU
rnacentral:lncRNA from 10 species